CCCAGACUCCUACGGGAGGCAGCAGUGGGGAAUAUUGCGCAAUGGGCGCAAGCCUGAUGCAGCGACGCCGCGUGAGCGAAGAAGUAUUUCGGUAUGUAAAGCUCUAUCAGCAGGGAAGAAAGAAAUGACGGUACCUGACUAAGAAGCCCCGGCUAACUACGUGCCAGCAGCCGCGGUAAUACGUAGGGGGCAAGCGUUAUCCGGAUUUACUGGGUGUAAAGGGAGCGUAGACGGUUACGCAAGUCUGGAGUGAAAGGCGGGGGCCCAACCCCCGGACUGCUUUGGAAACUGUAUAACUGGAGUGCAGGAGAGGUAAGUGGAAUUCCUAGUGUAGCGGUGAAAUGCGUAGAUAUUAGGAGGAACACCAGUGGCGAAGGCGGCUUACUGGACUGUAACUGACGUUGAGGCUCGAAAGCGUGGGGAGCAAACAGGAUUAGAUACCCCGGUACG
rnacentral:rRNA from 1 species